rnacentral:rRNA from 1 species
CCUACGGGAGGCAGCAGUGGGGAAUAUUGGACAAUGGGCGAAAGCCUGAUCCAGCAAUGCCGCGUGAGUGAUGAAGGCCUUAGGGUUGUAAAGCUCUUUUACCAGGGAUGAUAAUGACAGUACCUGGAGAAUAAGCUCCGGCUAACUCCGUGCCAGCAGCCGCGGUAAUACGGAGGGAGCUAGCGUUGUUCGGAAUUACUGGGCGUAAAGCGUGCGUAGGCGGUUAUUCAAGUCAGAGGUGAAAGCCCGGGGCUCAACCCCGGAACGGCCUUUGAAACUAGAUAGCUAGAAUCUUGGAGAGGUUAGUGGAAUUCCGAGUGUAGAGGUGAAAUUCGUAGAUAUUCGGAAGAACACCAGUGGCGAAGGCGACUAACUGGACAAGCAUUGACGCUGAGGCACGAAAGCGUGGGGAGCAAACAGGAUUAGAUACCCUGGUAGUCCACGCCGUAAACGAUGAUAACUAGCUGUUCGGGCACUUGGUGCCUGAGUGGCGCAGCUAACGCAUUAAGUUAUCCGCCUGGGGAGUACGGUCGCAAGNUUAAAACUCAAAGGAAUUGACGG